GACGAACCGUGCGAACGUUGUUCGGAAUCACUGGGCUUACAGGGCGCGUAGGCGGCCCGCCGCGUCCGGGGUGAAAUCCUCCCGCUCAACGGGAGGACGGCCUCGGAUACGAGCGGGCUGGAGGGGGGUAGGGGCACGCGGAACUGUGGGUGGAGCGGUGAAAUGCGUUGAGAUCCACAGGAACUCCGGUGGCGAAGGCGGCGUGCUGGACCCCACCUGACGCUGAGGCGCGAAAGCCAGGGGAGCGAACGGG
rnacentral:rRNA from 1 species